AUUUACUUACAAAAAGAUUUGAGAAGGACUCUGCAGUAGGCAUGGAAACACAAUAUAACACAGGGGGUGCUGCCUAAUUAGAUUUUUCCUUGCAGUAGCAGUCGAUCGAAGCAUCUAAUCAAUUAAUCGUUGAUCGACUAUUAUUAACGCGCCGAUCAUUUAUCCUUGCAAUACUUAAGAGAAAGAAGUAAAAAGGAUCUCACUGGCGAACGUUGUCCCUUUUCGAAAAUAUUUUUGUGGUUGCUUUGGUGUAUUGCGCGGUGUCACUUUGGCUAUUGGAUGUCCCAGAUGAAUAUGCCUACAUUGAAGCUGGAUGAAUGAAAAUUUCAUUUUUGUCUGAUUUUUCUUGGGUGCAUCGUAUCACUGACUUCCCCCGGCAUUUUUAGCAUACUUUGGUCAAAUAUUCUUCUCUAAAUAUGUAGUGCUAAGCAUAUCUAACGUAUAAAACAUGGUAGAGAAUUAGCAAUCUGAUCCAUAAGCUGCUCAACUGGCUCUUACAAAAAGAAUCUCUCAAGCCAUGAAAAAUAUGAUCUGCCUGUUGUUUAUUUGCUCACUUUUUGUGAUAUGCAAGGGAGAAAUUACGAACGCAUUGACACAAUGCGACGAAUCCAUGGAUGGCAUCAUAGUCUCCGGCAACGUGUGUAGUUUCAGUUGCUGCUUGGCAAAUUAUUUGCGACAGAUGCAAAAGUCGGCCGACGGUAACUAUUCGCCGAGAAAACGUGGUAUGAUUCUCCGUCACGUAUUGAGCAGAAGACGCAGAGGUUUAACCAGCAAGUGCUCUUCAUUUCCUGACAGUGGGUUAUCCUGCAUGGACAGUGGAUACGAGUUCAAGCACAAAACAGUCAUAAAAUACAACUCUGGAGGAUGCUACAUUUGCAAUAAUGGUGUGCAUUAUCAUUACGUUGAUAUGAAUUCUAUGACAUCAUCAUCUGUGAAUGAAGGCUAUACUCUUGUCAGAUUUGGAUAAAAUAACAAAGACGUAAUGUGGAAUCUAUUAUUUAACUGUAGAUUAGUUUUUUUGCGUUACUUAUGAUUAAAAGUUGAUCAUGACAAUGAUACUAAUGAUGGUAAAAUUAUUUAAAAGUUGUUUUUCUCUGUCAGUUGAGCUUACUAAUGCAGUGGUGGAUCCCGACCAAAACUUGGGUCCCAUAAAGGAGUGGUCCUAUAAAUUUCUGGCGACAUUCUUAACCUUCGUCCAAAGUUAGGCACGCCCAGCUGACAAUUAAAAAAUACUUUCAAAGCAUGGUUAUCAAAGAAGUUUGUAAAUCAAACCAGACAUGAUCAUCGUGAAUUCUGGAAGAAUAUUCUAGAUUUCUUGCUCACAAACGAUUAUAAUGAAAAUUUAUUACCUAGUUAAAGGAGGGGUUGAGCCUACUCGGUGUUGCAGAGUUUGAGUAGACUGCAACACAGAGAUUUGUUGCAAAAUUGAUUCAGUAUUAUCUAUGCAAAAACAUAAAUCAUAACAUUACAGUUUCAUUUAGUUGAAUUGGCCAAACUCUUAAGAAUAAAACACUACACCCUUUGUUUAAGAUGUUUUGGAUACGAAGGUUUAUAGUGGUGCGUAGAAAAUAGUUAUGGGUGUCAGUAGGCUUGGUAUGGAAUAUAUUUUUUUUGUUUAGUUCUAAUUGGGUCAAUGGAUAUUAAAGUAUCGAGUAGGGUACGGCUUUCAAAUUUUAUUCAAUCAUUUCUGUAUGGAACAGCCUGCCAGACAAUAUUGUUACGCAGACGAAUUCUGAUUUCUUUCACAAUCUAUGUCUAAACCACCUCAGUAAAGUGGUAAAUGGUUGUUAAAUCGAUAAUGAUGAUGAUGAUGAUGAUGAUGAUAAUGAUGAUGAUGAUGAUGAUGAUGAUGAUGAUGAUGAUGAUGAUGAUAUGAUGGUAUGAUUGCGCAGCUCUUCUUAAAAUGAUAUUUUUAAUGGUUGAGGUGGUUUAUUGUUGAAAUGAGUUUCCCUUCUCCACCAGAGAUGUCAGUGUACCCAGCAUAAAGUUGGAAGUCUUAUUUCCAGGUAAAAGAUGAAUGUUUCUCCCAAUUCACUUUUCACCCAUCUACAUUGUCGUAUAAGAUGGGGCACAGUGUCUAUCGCGAGUCCUUUCAUCUGUAUAUAAGAUGAGUUAAGAUUUCGUAUAUGGUGCUUGAAUGUGGUGAUUACUUCACUUGGUGGAUCUUUAAUAUCUCUGUUUCCUAGUGAUUUUCUGAAAGCUUUAAUUUCUUCUUUGCUUAAUGUUCCUUCGUAUAAAGUUAACGAACAUCUAUUUUUACGAGUAGCAUUCUAUGUGGGAGAUUUUUAGUAUCUUCCAUCGUAUUUAACCAAUACACUUUUACUCUAUACUAAAAUACACGAGAAAAACUAACCCAGAUUGUCCAUUAAUAUCUUCAAUAAACUGCCAUACAUCUAAUUCCUUCCAAAUUUGUAGAUCACUUUAUGCAAGGUUUGGUACGUAAAGCUAAAUUAUACAUAAGAGAUUCAUUAGACCCAUUUAACAUGGAUUUUUUCGAAUGCUUUUGCUAUUUUUACAUCAGUUAGAUUUUUCUAAAGCAUAUCUUUUAGUGAGUUGCUGAUAAGGUUGUAGAGUCUUCACAGGACUAGUUACUUUGUUCUUGAUAGAAUUCACAUUCAUUAGUUGUUUAUUAGCCAUUUGAAAAAUUCUUCAAUGCCCCUAAUUACGGUUGCUACGCCUUUGUCGGCUCUUGUGACUAUAAAGUCAUCUCUGCUACAAUUUAGAAAUAAUAACAAUUUACAAGAACAAUUGUGUCAAUGCGAAUUAGCUUAAGUACACUGUAUUUUGACUGAAUGUAGAAAAUAACAAGUCCAGGGCUGGACGCAAACCUGCGACUCGCGACAUUGUACGUCGUGGCUCCAUCGAACGAGCUUCAGCCUGGAAUCGUAAUAAUCUAUCAAUCGCAAAAUGGACUUCAUAAUAGCCAAGUUUGCCUAAUGGACUACCAGCAUUUUACGUACACAGCGACAGGUUAUCUACCUUUCGGGUAUGCCCCGAAGGCCUAUGGGACAUAUACCAACCGAGAUCUGCUCACUUGACCUACAUAGACCGGGAACAAUCCUAAAUAACCUGACGAAGUGCCUAAACCUUGCUUGGACGUCAGGGACAUUUACUAUUUUUGUCGCUAAUUAUUUUAAGGUUACGGUAAACGUUUUCUGGAUGAAAACAAUCAUUUUUCGAUUAUUUCACAUCCAAGUAGCCGAACUUUCAAGGCACACAAUGAUAUAAAAAUUGAAACUAACAAAAAUCUUGAAAAUGGGAAAAAUCCCAUGAAAACGAAGGUUUCCAUAAUUUCUUUAUCAGAACUUUUAGUUGAGGCCUGAAAAUCUUGACCUGUUGAGCCGAUUAUCGUUGCUUUGCGGUUGUGGUCGCAUGUCUCAUUUACAAUAUCGCAUUGUACAUCCAUGUAUCCCAUGUACAGCCGUGUUUAUUUAAACAGGCUUAUUGAUCUUAAA